rnacentral:misc_RNA from 1 species
ACAGGUGCGUUUGGAUCUUGUUUAGUUUUGAAGGAUCAUUCCUUCAAAGCGUGUUCUUUGAAAACUAGAUAACGAAAGUAGACAUUCACAUUCAAUUGUAAUGCAAGAUAUCACGUAGUGAUU